AUUGAACGCUGGCGGCAUGCUUUACACAUGCAAGUCGAACGGUAACAGGUUAAGCUGACGAGUGGCGAACGGGUGAGUAAUGCAUCGGAACGUGCCCGGUCGUGGGGGAUAACGCAGCGAAAGCUGCGCUAAUACCGCAUACGAUCUGAGGAUGAAAACGGGGGACCGUAAGGCCUCGCGCGAUCGGAGCGGCCGAUGUCGGAUUAGGUAGUCGGUGGGGUAAAGGCUCACCAAGCCAACGAUCUGUAGCUGGUCUGAGAGGACGACCAGCCACACUGGGACUGAGACACGGCCCAGACUCCUACGGGAGGCAGCAGUGGGGAAUUUUGCGCAAUGGGGGAAACCCUGACGCAGCAACGCCGCGUGAGUGAUGAAGGCCUUCGGGUCGUAAAGCUCUUUUAGUGGGGAAGAAACCGCCAGGGCUAAUAUCCCUGGUGAAUGACGGUACCCACAGAAAAAGUUCCGGCUAACUACGUGCCAGCCGCCGCAGUAA
rnacentral:rRNA from 1 species